rnacentral:rRNA from 1 species
AGAACGAACGCUGGCGGCAUGCCUAACACAUGCAAGUCGAACGCUCACCGGGCUUCGGUUCGGUGGGAGUGGCGCACGGGUGAGUAGCGCGUGGGAACCUGCCCUGUUGUGGGGGAUAACCGAGGGAAACUUCGGCUAAUACCGCAUGCGCCCGGGGAAACCCGGGGAAAGAUUUAUCGCUCUAGGAGGGGCCCGCGUCGGAUUAGCUUGUUGGUGGGGUAACGGCCUACCAAGGCUUUGAUCCGUAGCUGGUCUGAGAGGAUGAUCAGCCACACUGGGACUGAGACACGGCCCAGACUCCUACGGGAGGCAGCAGUGGGGAAUAUUGGACAAUGGGCGCAAGCCUGAUCCAGCAAUGCCGCGUGAGUGAUGAAGGCCUUCGGGGUUGUAAAGCUCUUUCGCACGCGAGGAUGAUGACGCUAGCGUGAGAAGAAGCCCCGGCUAACUCGCGCCAGCAGCCGC